GCUUACGGCCAUACCAGCCUGGGUACGCCCGAUCUCGUCUGAUCUCGGAUGCUAAGCAGGGUCGGGCCUGGUUAGUACUUGGAUGGGAGACCGCCUGGGAAUACCAGGUGCUGUAAGCA
rnacentral:rRNA from 1 species